rnacentral:rRNA from 1 species
UACGUAGGGGGCAAGCGUUGUCCGGAUUUAUUGGGCGUAAAGAGCGUGUAGGCGGCUGGGUAGGUCCGUUGUGAAAACUCGAGGCUCAACCUCGAGACGCCGAUGGAAACCCUCCAGCUAGAGUCCGGAAGAGGAGAGUGGAAUUCCUGGUGUAGCGGUGAAAUGCGCAGAUAUCAGGAAGAACACCCGUGGCUAAGGCGGCUCUCUAGUACGGUACUGACGCUGAGACGCGAAAGCGUAGGGAGCGAACAGG